rnacentral:rRNA from 1 species
UGGGAAUCUUGGACAAUGGGGGAAACCCUGAUCCAGCCAUGCCGCGUGAGUGAUGAAGGCCUUAGGGUUGUACAGCUCUUUCGCACGCGACGAUAAUGACGGUAGCGUGAGAAGAAGCCCCGGCUAACUUCGUGCCAGCAGCCGCGGUAAUACGAAGGGGGCUAGCGUUGUUCGGAAUUACUGGGCGUAAAGCGCGCGCGGGCGGGUCAUCAAGUCAGAGGUGAAAGCCCGGAGCUUAACUCCGGAAUAGCCUUUGAAACUGUUGAGCGUGAGUACGGGAGAGGUGAGUGGAAUUCCCAGUGUAGAGGUGAAAUUCGUAGAUAUUGGGAAGAACACCAGUGGCGAAGGCGGCUCGCUGGCCCGUUACUGACGCUCAGGCGCGAUAGCGUGGGGAUCAAACA